AAGAAAAUCAUAGUAAAUAACUUACAAAAAAGGAGUUGGGGGUGAAAAUAUCAAUGAUCGAUUUGUAAAUUUUGAUUAAAUAAUUUCUGGGAUGUAUUUAAGUCACGAUAUAUGAAAUGUAAUCUCUCUGCAUCACCUCUUAAUUGAUAUUUAAAAUUUAAUAAUUACUCCCACUAAUGAAAAUUGAUAUAGCAACACCUUGGAUCAGCUGUGAUUUAUAAGAUCUUCACCUUCAGUAAAUGUACCAAAUACUACAAGCAUAUGGCAUUAAAUUGGAUGGAUGGGGGGUAUAUGUUCUCCAUGUAAAGGGAGGGUAAGCAAAACAAGCACUACAAGGGGGAGUAAAUCAUGGCAGACUUCACCUAAAGUUCACAAAUAAUAGCUAAUAAAACCUAAACAGGAUUAAGCCAAAGUGUUGAAUCCCACGCCAAUUGUUUACAAUUGGGUUGAUAAGCAAAAGAAACAGGAAAAUAUAGCAGUGUGGGCUAUACUUGUUGAAAGCUCUCUUGAAAUAAUGAUAUAUGGCCUUAAUUUAAAGGGUAUAUUGUGACUUACAAUUUUCACAUAAAAUGCUACAUUAAUAUUCUUUCCCCUAUUCAGUGCUUUAUAAAAUUAAUUUGAUAAAGUGGUGACUGAGGUGCAGGCCUUGUAUAAAAUGGUACUUUAAUUCUGAAAUUGUGAGCACCUGAAAUAGUUUGGCUAAAUAUGCCCGUUCUAAUUUAUCUUAUAAUAAGACUGUGUCGUCUUUGCUUCAAAUAAUCAAUACACAAACACCUUAACACUUACAGAUUAUACAUAUUUAAUGCAAGGGACUGUUUACACUUCAAAGAUGAAAGAAUUACAGAAAAAUUCAAUACACUUUUAAUACACGAGUAAACUUGAACACUGAAAAAUUUACGUCUUUCCCUCCUUGAUAUGUGCAAAAAGACAUUAGUUUGUCGGCUUUGUAAACAGUGGGCAGUGUCAGUAUAUAAAAUUGUCUCCGUGGAUGUAGCCUUCACAUGUGAUAGUGCAGUCCUUGAAGUAUUUCUUUCAUAAUUGAAGUCAUUUUCCCUUGAGCAAUCCAGCUGUACCUAGAUUUAUUUCUGAUUACACAAAAUCUAAUACCUACCCUAAUUUCUACAUUUCCAACGACAAACUUGUGGACAUUGAGGGGUAACACCCCCUCCCCAUUCAAAAGGAGGAAACAUUUUGUGACCUAUGAAAUCUGAAUUAUGGGGCCUCACAUCAUCUCUAUGGAUUAUACAUGUAUAUGACUAAUUUAAUUAUGAACAAUCAAAUCAUUAACAUUCAGGAAAUCAGACAUGUGGAACAGGAAGGGCUCAGGACAGAUGAUGGACCAGACUUGGAUUUGAACCUCCUGGGUCCGAUUAAACUGUCAGCCCUCAGGUGCUUUGCAAACCCAGAUGACACCAGCAAUAAAACCUCACCUGAUUGCCACAUUCCUCAUAUCUUCACACCCUACAGUAUCAACCCAGGGUCUGUUCCCUCUCUCAAUGUUCCAUUAUUCUGGGAACAAGACAGGCUUACAAUGAGCACCAAGUGUAAAGGAGAAAUUGUUAUGGGCUAGACAGCCGGUAUUCAGAUCAUGUGAUUAAAACUAUAUUCAUCUAGUCAUAUGUUCAACUGCAGAGCUUGAUGAUUUGAUCGAAAAUCAUGAAAUUAAAACCAAAUAUAAAAAAGAAAUAUUGCAAUCAAUUGAAAUUAAAACUUAAGAUUAUCACCAUGACUGACUGACACAAAUCAACAUCACAAUGCAGACUAUUUUUGGACAAUCCGAUAAAUAUGUUCAUUGUGCCAGAGGAUGACAUGAAUAGCCACAUGAUACAUGUGCUUCCUAUGCCAAAAUUUGACAUUGACCUGCCUAUCAGCUUCCUCUAGUACUCAGUUUUCAUUGACAUGCCUAUCAGCUUCCUCUAUAGUGCUCAGUUUUCAUUGACCGGCCUAUCAGCUUCCUCUAUAUAGUGCUCAGUUUUCAUUGACAUGCCUAUCAGCUUCUUCUAUAGUGCUCAGUUAUCAUUGACGGGCCUAUCCGCUUCCUCUGGUGCUCAGUUUUCAUUCAUCAACUGGGGCAACAAAAAUCUUUAUAAACUGGUCAAAAGUGUUUCUAUUUAUCAGUUAUUUAUAAUGUAAAAUCUGUUUCAUUGGCUUUUUUAUUUUUAAGUAUUCUAUUCUUUUCAAGGAAAACGAUGAAUUGAUCUUUUGUUUUAAGCUAGAUAACAACACACUGCUCAAGUGUAAUUGGAAAAGAUCUUAAAUCAUCGGUGUUUAUAAAACACUCAAAACCAAAUCUUGUGAUCAAUAUAGACUCAGGCAAUGUUUUUCCAGAGCAACCAGGAAUUCAUGGACAGUAUUCAGAAACUGUUGAAUGACUGUUGAAAUUUUCUUAAUAGUUUGUAAAGCACUUGAAGGAGUUAAUGUUCUUUUCAAAAAUAGUACUAGAAUUGGAAGAAAAUGUACUUAUACAUACAAGAGCAAGAAUGCUCAAACUAUGCCAAGGACCCUUAAUUAAAAUUAAGAAUUUAAGGUGGCUCAUUUCACCAAAACUUUAUUUGAUGGCUUGAUCGUGAAAACACCUCUUAAAAAGGAUGAUUGCACCAUAGACAGAGUGACACAAACAGAGAUCUCUGCAAUCAUUUCAUAUCAAUUUUUUGUGAUUUUUUUCAGAAUGAUAAAAAAGUGUUUUGUUUGCAAAUAAUUAAGAGAAUCUAGAGUCCAAAUGUCGCUGUGAUUUGAUGCAUGGUAUAUCUAACAAAACAUGCGUAAGUAACUCAAAUAGAUGUUCUAAUUUUUUUAAUUAAAAAAAUACUCAUGAAAAUCGAAAACAUUAUUUGUUAAUAUCUUUUAAACCUACAGAUGAAAUCUUCAAAAAUCAGGUCUAUUGGAAAAGAUAAAUCGGACAAAUAUCUUCUUCUUUUUUUUAAAUUGAAAUUAAAUGGUCAAAAUUAGAAAUAUUGUGAUUUUUCAAAUAUGAACCAUGCCCAUGCAAACACAAUUAUUAUAAAACUACAUUCCCUUGAGGUAAAUUGGUUUACAAAUUAAAUGAAUUUUGAUCAGGAUCGGUACUUUUUUCUCUCAUUUGGUUCAAAUCUAAAAUACAUAUUGAUAUAUUUGAAAUUUGGUCAUUUCAUUUCAAUUUCUUCUUUAAAAUGUGUUUGUCUAGAUAUAUUUUUUUUCUAACUGACAUGUUUGUUAAAAAAAUUUGAUCCAUAUAGAUUAAAAAAAUAAAAAAAUCUAAAAAAUAUCUUUUAUUAAAAAAUCUAAGAAACUAAAAAUUCUAUCUGAGUCAUUUAGGCAUGUUUUAUUAGAUAUUUGGACUCUAAAAUCUCUUAUUUGCAAACGAAACACCUUUUAUGUCAUUCUGGAAAAAAAUCACCAAAAAAAUCAUAUAAAAAUAAUUUGAGAGUUUGUAUUACUCUUUUAAUGGUGAAACCAUGCUUCAUACAAGGUGCUUAAAUGUCGAGCCAUGUAAAUAAAAUUUUAUUGUAAUGAGCCAUCUUAAAGUAAAAACGUUUAGAAAAUAAAAGUACAUUUGUACUACAGGUGUGCAAUAUUACUGGUAGAUCACGAUAUGACCCAUGAAAAGUUGAAGAUAAGGAAAAGUGAUCGAUCUCAUAACUCCUAUAAAGAAUACAAAUUAAAUUAAGAGUUGGGCAAACACAGACCCCUGGACACAGCAGAGGUGGGAUCAGGUGCCUUAGUUAAAGCAUCUCUGUCAACUGGUUACACCUGCCAAUUGAGCCAAUAUCUUGAUCAGGUAAAUGGAGUAAUCCAUAGACAAAAAUAAUAAUAAAAUAAUAUAUCACAAUAUGAAAACCAAAUACUAGUAUUUUACAAUAUGUUUACAUUGCAUAUAUAUAUAUAUAUAUAUCAAUAUUUAGAGCAUCAUUAAAACAAUGUUAAAUAAAUAGAUUGAUCCUAUAAUUGUCAAGCCUUUUUAACUAUGUCAAUGAUAAAUGUCGUAAUUAUGAUAUAGAUUUUACAUGCCAAUUAAAACCCAUAUCACAUAUGUAUGUCAUAUCCGAGUCCUCAGGGCCCCAUAUCAACCCUCAGGGUUGAUAUGAGACCACUUGGGCUCAGAUAUGGCAUUUAUGAUAUGAAUUUUUGCAUGUAAUAUUAUCUAUAAUAUAUCACAAUACUAUGAUUUUCACUGACGUUAUACCCAACUCUACAUGGUACUGUUAAAAAACUCUGCUUUUUCUUCAUUACAUAUUUACUAAUGUUAAUUAAGCUAAGAUAAAAUUAGUCGUCUCAUCAACAAAAUAAAAAGAUGUAACAUCUAAAACCGUCAUCACAAGUAACAUUGAUAACUGGAAAUCCAAGAGUGCAAAAUAAUUAAAACUAAAUAGAACCUGCCGACACAAUUAAGCCUAAGGAAGUGCAAAAAAAAAAUCAGUUUUAUUUUUUUUAUAAUCAUAUAACUAUUUUAAGUUUAAUAAAGCAGGGACACAUCCUUGGUGGUUUUAUAUGUUUCUAUUUUAUAAGCUAUCUGAGAAAAAAGUGCGUCUGGAACACAAAUUUUUCACCAGAUUCGACUAUAUUGAGAAUUCAAUAUUUCCACAUUGAGCAGUCAAACUUAAUUAAACAGCCACCACUAAGGAUGGGAUAAAAGGUAGCAACAUUUUUAUGAUCUUUUUUUCAACAAAGAAUAUUAAAGGACGUGCCACGAUGGACGAAUUAUGAAUGGCCAAUUAUCUGCACAGUGGAAGAAGUUGUUGAAAACGAUCACGAUCUUGCAUGCUAAGAACACUUUAAACAUCAGACAGUUCUUCAAGAUAAAUUGAAAAUGCUACAUCAAUUUCAUGAAGGACCAAAUACAGCAUAUAAUUGAGUCCCAGAGUUGUCGAAAAUAAGUGGUGAUUGGGGGAAAAAGAUGAAGUGAAAAGUCUUUCCUAUCUCGUUUUGUGUUGGUUGUUCUGAUCACUUUGGACUCUAUCCAGACCAAUUAAGUGAGCUGUUACUCUGCUGUUGAUGAACGUACAUCAUGAACACAUACCAGUACCAAAAUACACAACAUUCAUGGAAAUUGAUGUAAUAAUUCAGUCAUACUUAAAUAAUGUAUAGGCAUUUCAAUUGCUGAUUUUAUUUAAACUUCCUAUUUUUCUAAUCAGAUACACUUAAUUGCAAGUUUUCUACUAAAAAUUGCUAAGCAUUUAAGCAAAAUGCCAUUGGUUUCUCUUCCUAAGAAAUUUAGACAGAAGAAUGUAAACUCUUGCAGAUUGAAAAUUCAAUUUUUCUGCCUUGGAGCCACAGGUGGCUAAUCGAAAGACAUCAGGGAUUUUUCCAAUCAAAUUCUGGAGAAUCUGAUAGAAGGAAAAUCCGCCCCUAUAGCUGCAGUGAACUAGUGUCUGUUUUUUCUGCAUCUGUAGCAGUGGCCACCAGCCAAACUCCACAUCCCAGAAUAAACACUUUUUGUUUACUCAUCAGAAGAGAGGGUAAACAUUAUAAACAGUAUCUUGAUCAAAUUUAUAACAUACAUCCUAUCAUGAUAUCUGAAGUCUGUCAUUGUUAUACUACGAGGCAAUACUGUUGCCAAAGCUUGUUGGAUUUGGUUUAUGUAAUGUACACUAAGAACCAACAAACUGUCCUUCAAAAAACACUAAUCUUUAUUCAUAAUAUCAUGGAGUGUAAGUGAAUUAUACGGUUUUUUCAUAAACAGAAUAAAUAUCAAUCAAUGAAAGAUCUACCGUUUUCUAUUAGCUACCGCACACUCCAUUAUCAGAGAGAGCAGUCUGCUCUUUUCAUCUCUCUUGCAGAUUUCGACUUCCAUCUGAAACAUUGACCUUCUGUUGCAGAAAAUUAGCAGUUUACAAAUUGGUUUUUAUAUCAUCAAGAAGAAGUGUGCGCUAAAACAUCUGAAAGAUGUCUUCAACAUCAUGGGGAUAGUAUAGAGUUCCAUCAUUUGGCACCAAUGUAGUAUUUUAUUUUAACUUCCAUGGCUAAAAUGAAAAGGUGAAUAUAACCAACAGUGAUCUAUCUCAUAACUCCUAUUAGGAAUACAAAAUUAAGCGUUGGGCAAACACGGAACCCUGGACAUACCAGAGGUGGGACCAGUUGCCUAGGAGGAAUAAUUUAGCAUUGCCUGUGGACUGGUCACACUUGCUGUGAGCCCUAAAUCUUGACCACAUAAAUGGAGUAAUCCAUAGUCAAAAUCAUCAGUGUGUAAAUUAAGAACAGCCAAACAAUUGGUAUGAAACAUGUCAGACAGCUUUUCACCCAAUGACAGGUUGUAUUGUCAAAUUAGAUUGUUAUAAUGACCUUACAAAAUGCUGACUUUAAACGAGACUAUUGAAACCCCAGUAACAUCAACUUGUUUGUCAGUUGCCUGCCUUGAUUUAAAAAUUUAUCAGAUGCAGAACAGAUUUUUGUGUAUCAAUCAGUUGAGAGACAUAAACACCAUGCAUAUACAGGUGAUAAUGGCAUAUUAAAUUGCUACAUAAAUAUGGGAAGUUGACAAUGGAGAAGCUGGAGUCCCAAAGUUGAGUUGCUAGUUUGCCAUUAACAUUUAUAUGUUUAAUAAAAUAUCUACCUACAACAUAGAUGUGGAAGACUGUCUUUUAUUUUGAGUACACUGAGAUAUAUCGAAUUAACAUGAAUGAAAUUGAUUAUUGUUAAUAGAUAAAACUUCGUCAAUAUAUCUAAAUGUCGAGUUGAAGGCCACAGCAAGAGAUUUUUUCAUCUCAUGUAGAUUGAGCUUUUAAAUAAAUUCUGCCUAAAAUGAAUGUAAAAACAGGUCAGCUAAUAAAGGGGCACAAUUCAUGCCCAUGGGAAUUCCAGCAGUGUUGGAAGACCGGAUCACCAAUUAAGACUAUGAAAAUAUUGUCAAUGAGGAACUCCAGGCCAGCAACUUUUUAAUAUCAACUUCAGAGUACUUGUGUGUAGAAUCAGAGUGGUGUUUAACACAGUAUCAACAGAUCAAAGUAACAAAAUAUAUUUCUCAAGGAAUGAAAACUGAUCACUAAAAUAUUAUCUUAAAUCUACACACCUAGAACCAAAAUACUAAUAUUUCUAUUAUGCCAUUACAAUCUUUUUUUCUUUUUUUUUUUAAUGUUAACUCCGUUUUUUUUAUUCUUCCUACACAGAGGGUAGAUUCAACAAUACUAUAGUAUUUAGAUUUCCUAUGUUUUGCCAUUUCCUCAUAAAUGUGUUACAGUUCUUAACAAUGCACAUACGAAUACAGAUAAAUACAAUUCCGCUUCAUGAGACACUAUCUCGAACAUCAAUAUCUCGAAUACCAUGGAUAUGGCAAAGUGAGAAGGAAGUUAAUUUAACUAUAUUUUCUUUAUGUAUUUUAACCUUAACCAACAAACCCUCAGAUAUCUUAGCGAAGUUUUGUUUCUGCCACAUUGAGUUCAAGCUUAUGAGGUUAUCUAUAUUAUCAGCUGGGAAGUUUUACAGAAAAUGAAAGUAUAAUGUAAAUAUAAGAAAGAACUUCAUUUUUGAACUGCAGUCAAUGCUUCACACUAAUGCACUUCAUGAAGUGUGCUGGCGUGAAGUAAAACAGUUCAUAUAACCUGAACAUAUUUUCAAAAAUAAAAUCGAUUUUUUAAGAGGCAUUACUAUGAGGCUGGAAAGAUCAUAAUGAAAACUAAAAGUGUCAAAUAAGCUCAAAUUUUCCCACCAGCUCCAUGAUUCAGCAUAUUGCACGCACUGAUUGUCUGACUUAACAUGGAGCCUUCCCACUAAUAUAGAAUGUCAGUAAUAAUAUAAAAUAAGUUGGGAUAGUUUAAACUAAACAUAAACUGCUUCAAACUGUCCGAACUUAUAUUUACAUCAUAUAAAAUAUCAGUAAAAAUUUGAUCCUUUUUCAUUUCCUAGAAUUUAAUUUUUUUUAAAUGUAUUUCAUGUAAUUUUACGAAUAUAAUUUCUAAAUGAAAAUUUGGAUUUUAUAUGCAAUUAUAAUUAUUGUAGCAUGAAGCAAUAUUGUCAUAGCAACAAAAUGAAAACAGAAUUGCUAAAUGUAUUGUAUUGUUAUUUCCAUGAAUCAUAUGGUGCAACCUGAAAUUCACCCCGGCUGAGUUUAUAUAUUAUGUAUUGAUGAAGUCAAAUGAACCAUCAAAAACAAGUUUCACGAUAGUGAAAUUUCAAUAGAUGGAUAGUAUAAAUAAGGGAUUGAUUGAUUGAUUGUUUUGCUGUUUCCGCCACACUCAACAAUUUUUCAGUUAUCUGAUGGCGCCCAGUUUUUAUUGGAGGAAGAGAGAACCCAGAUACAAUGUACCUGGGAAGAGACCACCGACCUUCCGAAAGUAAACUGGGAAACUUUCUCACUUAAUGGCGCAAAUGGGAUUCGAACCCGCGCCGAUCAGAGGUGACAGGCCGUGUGAUUUUUAAGCGUGAUGCUAUAACUACUUGGCCACGGAGGCCCCUACUAUAAAUGAGGGAAGUGACUGGUACACUGGUGUAAAAGAAUGCAGAGAGCUGGUCAGAAUGAACUAUGGAUAGACAUUACACAGUGAAUAAGCAGAGAGAAUUAAUUAGGAUCAGAUAUAUAUAUACAUGUAUCAUUAUUAGGGAUGUAAUGUUUAUGGGCAUGCACUUAAAGAGUAUAUAUAGUGGAUUAUCUGGUAAUUGUGGGGUAACAUUGAGAAUGACAGAGAUCAAAGAAUAGAGACAAGCUUCAUAGUGGAUGAACUAGUCUGGCCUCUGAAUUACUUGCAAGUGGUCCUGUUCCAGGGAUCCUUAAAGUAUAGAAUAAAUGGACUAGAAGAAAGAUUUCUGCAAACCAAGCCAUGGAAUUUCCUGUUGAUUAAACUCAAACAAAGUAAAAAAAACUGGAAACCAAAACCUUGAGGUUAAAAUUACGGAAGAUUGUCAUGAGCGCAUGAUACCAUGCGGUAUUCAAUAGGGUCUGCAUCCAAAAGUUGGAUAAUUUGAUUGUUCAUUAGACUAUGAAUCUAGAUGCCUCAAUCAAAUUUAACACCAUUAUGACUCUUGCUCCUCUCUCUAACAUUACAAAGGAGAUUACAGUGCAGCUUUGAUAAUCUUCUAAAUGUAAAUACCAGUAUCUCUCUGUUACUAAUAAUGCACAAUAACCUGCACAUUCACAGGUACACACCUCUGGCAAACUGUGACUAUCCAUGUAAACACCCUGCUCAGCAGGUGCAUCACAGACUGCCUAUUUAUUUCCUGCCAGGUUACUACAAACUCACAGUGGGACUGAUAGUUUAACCUUAGAUUACCGUGUCAUUACACAGUGUAACCAUUAGCAUAAAAUGAAUUCAGGUCAGCUCACAAUUCAUAGUCACUUAACUUUACAAAUGUGAAACCUGUACAUACCAUUUUACUUACAACAAAAACCUCAGACAGAGUAAUAUGACAACAUUUACCACCUCCUCAAUUUACUGAAGAUUGGACACGUAUUUCUGAAAUUUAGUCCACUUCAACGAAUUUCAACAAAAUUUUUCUCACAAAUUCAGAUUAUUUCACCUUGUUCCAUUGAUCAAUAUUGACAAAACAUUUCUUGCAAAACUUCAAUGAAUACUUUACUUACAUUACCUGCAAUGCAAAUUUGUAUUUAUCUAAAGCAUGUAAUUGAACUUUGGUAUAAAUCUUUUUGAAAGGAUGCAAUUGAACUGAGGUAUAAAUCUUCAUGUUCAGGACCCAAAACAGUACAGUAUAUGUUUAUAAAUAAUUAUACCCCAUACCUGGUGUUGCAGACAAUCUGAAUGUUAUCAAUAUAAAAUGAUAAUCUUAUCUCUUUUCAGGAAGAGGGAAGAGUUAGAUGAAGAAUUGGUCACUGGUAACACAACUUUACAAACUGGGAGGGGUAGGGGUAGGAAUAAAGCAUUCCAUAUCAGCCUACUCUUUUUUAUAGUGUUAUACAUGUACAGGACGUUGUAUAUCAUAUUACACAAGAUAUUAAUUAGCCUACACUCUCUAUCAUAGUGUUAUACAUGUAUAGCACCCAGUUACUGUAAUGUCCACCCAUCUCUAGAAAUAAUUUUGAUAUGAAAUUUUGAGAUAGUAAAAUCUAACACACUGAAAUUGAUCCUAAUGUCAUAUGACUUCAGCUGCUUUGCAUUUAGCAGGUUGUCAUCACAAUAUUGUCUUCAGAAGCUGGCUUUAUUAAGGAGAGUAACCUAUGCUAGCGGGCAUCUGUCCCUCCCAUUUCAUGAGGAAACACCAUGUGGCAGGGCAUCUGUCCUUAGCAUUCCAUUCAGACAGGUGGAAAUCGCCUCCACUUCAUGAUCACAACAUGAAUCAACAGUGAAUAUCAUUCCAAAGUCAACCAGCUCAAUUUCCAACCACUGCCUGUCCCGUCUUUAUUUGCCUUUUGCCAAUAAUUACCCCCAUUCAGGAAUUUAUCAACAGGGAUUCAUUUUAAGAAUUUUUUUCUGCUUAGAGUCCACGAGCCGAUGGUAUCAAAUUCCUAUUUAAUUUCUUUAAAUUGAGAAACUAUUAACAUUUUGAUAAAGGUCCAUUUCAUUUUUAUGUUCAUAUGAGUUACAAAACACCACGGCAAAUGCCUGGUGUCACUAAGGAUUAUGUUUUAUUUAUUAAAUUUAUACAGAGCUUCUUCAAAAAGAUUGGGGACUUCUUUUCAUCAUUUUUUUUUUUUAAUUCAUGAUUAAAAAUUUGCAAGUUUGCAACCUUUGCUUUUCCUAAAGAAAUAUUAGAUUUUUUUUCUUUCAAAUAAUAUUUAAAAAUUGCAUGCAUGUCAUUUAGCAAAAUUAUAUUUCGAUUUAAGAUUCAUCUUUCAACAUUUGGGAGGGGGUGGGGGGGGGGGGCUGAAAAAUUAAUAUUUUCCAGAAUCAAUUUCUUGUUUUCUCUUAAUAUGAAGAUGCAAAUGUACAAUUUUAGAUACUUUUUAAAACUCUAAUAACAAAAGCUUUGUAAUUACUCAAAUUUCUACAAAAAUGAUUCAUAUUAAGUUCAGAGUUUCCAAAGAGCAUGCAAUAUAUUACUUAAAGGUAGGCCAUUGGAGUCACAUGACCAACUCCUAAGAGCACUACUUGCCAGCAGUAGAAAAUCCAUCAUAAAUUCUUUUAUGCAAUAUACCAAAGCCAGAGCUCAAAGACCACGACUUCUGAAAAUUAUUACUGCAUAGUGAUUUAAGAAUUUUACCAAAAAAUGUCUUCUGCUUUUUUUCCAUGACAGGGUCAGUGUAAUUCAAUUCAUCACCUGCCACUAAAACAUCCAAAUCUCUGCAGCACCACUUGAUCUUCCUAUUCCUAGGGGGGUGCAGCUGCAUUUGGUGCAGAGCAAUGAAAUUACCAUGUACAAGUGGACUUCAAAGCUUCAAAACUUACAAAGCUGUUUGUUGUUAUGUUUUACACAUCUGCCUCAUAAUUCAAUGCUCAGAAGUGCCUCAAAAUAUGUUUGUAGAGUUCUUCAUUAUUAAUCAAUUCAUCCCUAUAGAAAAGGUUCUAAAAAAAUCCGAGAGAGCUGAAUUCUUUUGAAAGCUAUGAAUUUCUAAGAAAAUUGUUACUAUGCCCACAAACAUUGUUCUUUCCUGUAACUUUUGUUUUUUAUCAUUAUUUAACAAUACUUCAUUCAAUAAAUAUAAAUGAGAUUGGAAAACAAGCCAUGGGAUUAUGUGAAUCUGUUCUCAUUCCAGGGUGUCUCCUGUAACCUUAUCUACCCGGCCAUCUGCUUUGGUUGUUUUUUUUUUACAAAAUUUCUUUUAAUGAUUUUAUUGUUUGGAUUUUUUAUUUGAACAGAAUGAAAUUGAAUUACAAUUCUAAUUUUUGAGAUCAUAUGUACAAAUGAAACUGUGUUAUAGACCGCCAAAGCCUGAAAGAGGCCUUGACGUUUUUGUGACCAUGCUGCGUCUGAAAGAAUGGCAUGUGUAUAUUUUUCAUAUUGGAGAAAAAAAUUAAAAUGCCUUAACUAUUACCCACCCAUGUGACAGGAAACAUACAUUAAGAAAAAUAUGAAAAUUUCAUUGACAAUCUCUUAAAUUUUCAAUGGUUAAUUUUGUAUGUCUUAUUACUAUUAAGUUUAUUUAGAUCAUCUCAAAAAUUAAAUAAAAUAAAUGUUCUUCAAAACUUAAGUCAACUUGUAAAUAUGUAUUCACAAACAAAAUGUUCUUUUCUAGCUACACAGAAAUGUGUGAGUGGUCCUCUGUUUCCAUGGGCCAUUCUUUUCUUCCAGUCAACAAUGUACAAGAAGGUUGUGAGAAGAUGGCAUAAGUUCAGGUAAUGGAGAAGAAGAAAUUAAGCUGUUAUUCAACUGUCUGUACCAUCAAAACUGUCAUUAAAAGCUUUCACAAAGAACAAGAUCUAUUGAACAGCUAUAUCAAAGUGCAUUCCAACUUCCAUUUACAUUUGCCAAAAA